GGUUAAGUUAGAAAGGGCGCACGGUGGAUGCCUUGGCACUAGGAGCCGAUGAAGGACGGGACGAACACCGAUAUGCUUCGGGGAGCUGUAAGCAAGCUUUGAUCCGGAGAUUUCCGAAUGGGGAAACCCACUGCUCGUAAUGGAGCAGUAUCCAUAUCUGAAUUCAUAGGAUAUGAGAAGGCAGACCCGGGGAACUGAAACAUCUAAGUACCCGGAGGAAGAGAAAGCAAAUGCGAUUCCCUGAGUAGCGGCGAGCGAAACGGGANNNNNNNNNNNNNNNNNNNNNNNNNNNNNNNNNNNNNNNNNNNNNNNNNNNNNNNNNNAAAAGAACGAGGUAGAUGAAGAGGUCUGGAAAGGCCCGCCAUAGGAGGUAACAGCCCUGUAGUCAAAACUUCGUUCUCUCCUGAGUGGAUCCUGAGUACGGCGGAACACGUGAAAUUCCGUCGGAAUCCGGGAGGACCAUCUCCCAAGGCUAAAUACUCCCUAGUGACCGAUAGUGAACCAGUACCGUGAGGGAAAGGUGAAAAGCACCCCGGAAGGGGAGUGAAAGAGAUCCUGAAACCGUGUGCCUACAAGUAGUCAGAGCCCGUUAACGGGUGAUGGCGUGCCUUUUGUAGAAUGAACCGGCGAGUUACGAUCCCGUGCAAGGUUAAGUUUGAAAAGACGGAGCCGCAGCGAAAGCGAGUCUGAAUAGGGCGCAUGAGUACGUGGUCGUAGACCCGAAACCAGGUGAUCUACCCAUGUCCAGGGUGAAGUUCAGGUAACACUGAAUGGAGGCCCGAACCCACGCACGUUGAAAAGUGCGGGGAUGAGGUGUGGGUAGGGGUGAAAUGCCAAUCGAACCUGGAGAUAGCUGGUUCUCUCCGAAAUAGCUUUAGGGCUAGCCUCAAGGUAAGAGUCUUGGAGGUAGAGCACUGAUUGGACUAGGGGCCCCUACCGGGUUACCGAAUUCAGUCAAACUCCGAAUGCCAAAGACUUAUCCUUGGGAGUCAGACUGCGAGUGAUAAGAUCCGUAGUCGAAAGGGAAACAGCCCAGACCGCCAGCUAAGGUCCCAAAGUAUACGUUAAGUGGAAAAGGAUGUGGAGUUGCUUAGACAACCAGGAUGUUGGCUUAGAAGCAGCCACCAUUUAAAGAGUGCGUAAUAGCUCACUGGUCGAGUGACUCUGCGCCGAAAAUGUACCGGGGCUAAACGUAUCACCGAAGCUGCGGACUGUUCUUACGAACAGUGGUAGGAGAGCGUUCUAAGGGCUGUGAAGCGAGACCGGAAGGACUCGUGGAGCGCUUAGAAGUGAGAAUGCCGGUAUGAGUAGCGAAAGAGGGGUGAGAAUCCCCUCCACCGAAUGCCUAAGGUUUCCUGAGGAAGGCUCGUCCGCUCAGGGUUAGUCGGGACCUAAGCCGAGGCCGAAAGGCGUAGGCGAUGGACAACAGGUUGAUAUUCCUGUACCACCUCCUCACCAUUUGAGNNAAGGCUGAGCUGUGAUGGCGAGCGAAAUAUAGUAGCGAAGUUCCUGAUUCCACACUGCCAAGAAAAGCCUCUAGCGAGGUGAGAGGUGCCCGUACCGCAAACCGACACAGGUAGGCGAGGAGAGAAUCCUAAGGUGAUCGAGAGAACUCUCGUUAAGGAACUCGGCAAAAUGACCCCGUAACUUCGGGAGAAGGGGUGCUCUGUUAGGGUGCAAGCCCGAGAGAGCCGCAGUGAAUAGGCCCAGGCGACUGUUUAGCAAAAACACAGGUCUCUGCGAAGCCGUAAGGCGAAGUAUAGGGGCUGACGCCUGCCCGGUGCUGGAAGGUUAAGAGGAGCGCUUAGCGUAUGCGAAGGUGCGAAUUGAAGCCCCAGUAAACGGCGGCCGUAACUAUAACGGUCCUAAGGUAGCGAAAUUCCUUGUCGGGUAAGUUCCGACCCGCACGAAAGGCGCAACGAUCUGGGCACUGUCUCAACGAGAGACUCGGUGAAAUUAUAGUACCUGUGAAGAUGCAGGUUACCCGCGACAGGACGGAAAGACCCCGUGGAGCUUUACUGCAGCCUGAUAUUGAAUGUUGGUACAGCUUGUACAGGAUAGGUAGGAGCCUUGGAAACCGGAGCGCCAGCUUCGGUGGAGGCAUCGGUGGGAUACUACCCUGGCUGUAUUGACCUUCUAACCCGCUGCCCUUAUCGGGCAGGGAGACAGUGUCAGGUGGGCAGUUUGACUGGGGCGGUCGCCUCCUAAAAAGUAACGGAGGCGCCCAAAGGUUCCCUCAGAAUGGUUGGAAAUCAUUCGCAGAGUGUAAAGGCACAAGGGAGCUUGACUGCGAGACCUACAAGUCGAGCAGGGACGAAAGUCGGGCUUAGUGAUCCGGUGGUUCCGCAUGGAAGGGCCAUCGCUCAACGGAUAAAAGCUACCCCGGGGAUAACAGGCUUAUCUCCCCCAAGAGUCCACAUCGACGGGGAGGUUUGGCACCUCGAUGUCGGCUCAUCGCAUCCUGGGGCUGUAGUCGGUCCCAAGGGUUGGGCUGUUCGCCCAUUAAAGCGGUACGCGAGCUGGGUUCAGAACGUCGUGAGACAGUUCGGUCCCUAUCCGUCGCGGGCGCAGGAAAUUUGAGAGGAGCUGUCCUUAGUACGAGAGGACCGGGAUGGACGCACCGCUGGUGUACCAGUUGUUCUGCCAAGGGCAUCGCUGGGUAGCUAUGUGCGGACGGGAUAAGUGCUGAAAGCAUCUAAGCAUGAAGCCCCCCUCAAGAUGAGAUUUCCCAUUCCGCAAGGAAGUAAGAUCCCUGAAAGAUGAUCAGGUUGAUAGGUCUGAGGUGGAAGUGUGGCGACACAUGGAGCUGACAGAUACUAAUCGAUCGAGGACUUAACCUA
rnacentral:rRNA from 1 species